rnacentral:rRNA from 1 species
UAACAAAAACAUGGCCUUUUGAGGUGGAAUUUAAGGUCGGGCCUGCCCACUGACGUAGUUGAAGGGCCGCGGUAUUUUGACCGUGCAAAGGUAGCAUAAUCAUUAGUCUUUUAAUUGAGGGCUGGAAUGAAUGGUUUGACGAAAUAUUAACUGUCUCUUUAUAAUAAAUGGAAUUUAACUUUUGAGUCAAAAGGCUUAAAUAAAUAUAAAAGACGAGAAGACCCUAUAGAUCUUUAUAUAGUUAAGUAAUUGUUUUAUUUGGUUGUUUUAUUUUCAAUUAUUUUGCUGUAUUUUGUUGGGGUGACAUGAAGACAAAAAUAACUCUUUAUAAUGGGAACAUUGAUUUAUGAGUGAUUGAUCCGUUACUAACGAUUAUAAGAUAAAGUUACCUUAGGGAUAACAGCGUAAUUUUUUUUGAGAGUUCUUAUCGACAAGAAAGAUUGCGACCUCGAUGUUGGAUUAAGGAAUAUGAUUAGGUGUAGCAGUUUAAUUAAUAAGUCUGUUCGACUUUUAAAUCCUUACGUCAUCUGA